rnacentral:lncRNA from 1 species
CUCUAAUUGGUCAGUUUAUCAAUGUUAAUACACCUUGUCCAAUUAACAACCUGCUGUUUUUAAUUUUCUUUAACAGUGAAGUCAGCAUCAAACUGGUGAAGCAUGAACAAAAAUUAACAAGGUCCUUUAAUCAUUAGAUACUUUUACAGACUGCAUAGAUUUCUUCUUUUAAUAUCAGACAUACAUGUUUUAAUAAAGUAGUGAAAGGGAGGCAAUUCAUUGUUUAAUCUUUUUUUUUUAUUCUGUUAAAAAUUAAUAGCUGUGGACCUGUGUUUCUCAUUUUCAAACUGAGUAAGGGGUAGAUACUCCUUUGCAGAUUAAACUUCUGGAAUUUUCAAAAAUGCACUUUUUGUAAUUUUCCCAUGCCAAUCCCUUAAAAAAAGGUCCCAUCUACAGUUAAGUUGUGCAAUUCAAUCCUUUAAAAUUUGGAAUGAGUGUUAUUUGUUAGUAAAUAAAUUACUGUAUGAUGAACAAAAAAUAC